rnacentral:rRNA from 1 species
GACGAACGCUGGCGGCGUGCCUAAUACAUGCAAGUUGAGCGCUGAAGGUUGGUACUUGUACCAACUGGAUGAGCAGCGAACGGGUGAGUAACGCGUGGGGAAUCUGCCUUUGAGCGGGGGACAACAUUUGGAAACGAAUGCUAAUACCGCAUAAAAACUUUAAACACAAGUUUUAAGUUUGAAAGAUGCAAUUGCAUCACUCAAAGAUGAUCCCGCGUUGUAUUAGCUAGUUGGUGAGGUAAAGGCUCACCAAGGCGAUGAUACAUAGCCGACCCGAGAGGGUGAUCGGCCACAUUGGGACUGAGACACGGCCCAAACUCCUACGGGAGGCAGCAGCAGGGAAUCUUCGGCAAUGGACGAAAGUCUGACCGAGCAACGCCGCGUGAGUGAAGAAGGGUUUCGGAUCGUAAAACUCUGUUGGUAGAGAAGAACGUUGGUGAGAGUGGAAAGCUCAUCAAGUGACGGUAACUACCCAGAAAGGGACGGCUAACUACGUG